CCUACGGGAGGCAGCAGUGGGGAAUAUUGCACAAUGGGCGAAAGCCUGAUGCAGCAACGCCGCGUGAGCGAUGAAGGCCUUCGGGUCGUAAAGCUCUGUCUUCAAGGAAGUUAAUGACGGUACUUGAGAAGGAAGCCCCGGAUAACUACGUGCCAGCAGCCGCGGUAAUACGUAGGGGGCUAGCGUUAUCCGGAAUUACUGGGCGUAAAGGGUGCGUAGGUGGUUUCUUAAGUCAGAGGUAAAAGGCUACGGCUCAACCGUAGUGAGCCUUUGAAACUGGGGAACUUGAGUGCAGGAGGGGAGAGUGGAAUUCGUGGUGUAGCGGUGAAAUGCGUAGAUAUUAGGAAGAACACCAGUUGCGAAGGC
rnacentral:rRNA from 1 species